rfam:Ixodes scapularis strain Wikel colony gcontig_1108378916760, whole genome shotgun sequence.
CCCUGGUUAGCUCAGUUGAUAAAGCUCUCCACUGGAAAUGGAGAGGUCCCGGGUUCGAUACCCAAACCAGGCG